rnacentral:rRNA from 1 species
AAUAAGCGGAGGAAAAGAAACCAACAGGGAUUGCCUUAGUAGCGGCGAGUGAAGCGGCAAAAGCUCAAAUUUGAAAUCUGGCUCUUUCAGAGUCCGAGUUGUAAUUUGAAGAAGGUAUCUUUGGGUCUGGCUCUUGUCUAUGUUUCUUGGAACAGAACGUCACAGAGGGUGAGAAUCCCGUGCGAUGAGAUGAUCCAGGCCUAUGUAAAGUUCCUUCGAAGAGUCGAGUUGUUUGGGAAUGCAGCUCUAAGUGGGUGGUAAAUUCCAUCUAAAGCUAAAUAUUGGCGAGAGACCGAUAGCGAACAAGUACAGUGAUGGAAAGAUGAAAAGAACUUUGAAAAGAGAGUGAAAAAGUACGUGAAAUUGUUGAAAGGGAAGGGCUUGAGAUCAGACUUGGUAUUUUGUAUGUUACUUCUUCGGGGGUGGCCUCUACAGUUUAUCGGGCCAGCAUCAGUUUGGGCGGUAGGAGAAUUGCGUUGGAAUGUGGCACGGCUUCGGUUGUGUGUUAUAGCCUUCGUCGAUACUGCCAGCCUAGACUGAGGACUGCGGUUUAUACCUAGGAUGUUGGCAUAAUGAUCUUAAGUCGCCCGUCUUGAAA